rnacentral:rRNA from 1 species
UACGUAGGGACCGAGCGUUGUCCGGAAUCAUUGGGCGUAAAGAGCGUGUAGGCGGCUAUUUAAGUCCUGCGUGAAAUCCUGCGGCUCAACCGCAGACGGUCGUGGGAAACUGGAUGGCUAGAGUGCGGGAGAGGAGAGUGGAAUUCCCAGUGUAGAGGUGAAAUUCGUAGAUAUUGGGAAGAACACCGGUGGCGAAGGCGGCUCACUGGCCCGUAACUGACGCUCAUGCACGACAGCGUGGGGAUCAAACAGG